rnacentral:rRNA from 1 species
ACAACGGAGAGUUUGAUCCUGGCUCAGAACGAACGUUGGCGGCGUGGUUUAGGCAUGCAAGUCGAACGAGAAAGCAUCUUCGGAUGUGAGUAAAGUGGCGAACGGGAGAGUAACGCGUGGAAAACCUGCCCUUCAGCGGGGGAUAACAUCUCUAACGAGGUGCUAAUACCGCAUACGACCAGGAAGUCGCAUGGCUUCCUGAUGAAAGAUGGCCUCUGAUUCAAGCUGUCACUGAAGGAUGGUUCCGCGUCCCAUUAGCUUGUUGGUGGGGUAAUGGCCUACCAAGGCGACGAUGGGUAGCCGGCCUGAGAGGGUGUCCGGCCACA